UACGUAGGUGGCAAGCGUUGUCCGGAAUUAUUGGGCGUAAAGCGCGCGCAGGCGGUCCUUUAAGUCUGAUGUGAAAGCCCACGGCUCAACCGUGGAGGGUCAUUGGAAACUGGGGGACUUGAGUGCAGGAGAGAAGAGUGGAAUUCCACGUGUAGCGGUGAAAUGCGCAGAGAUGUGGAGGAACACCAGUGGCGAAGGCGACUCUUUGGCCUGUAACUGACGCUGAGGCGCGAAAGCGUGGGGAGCAAACAGG
rnacentral:rRNA from 1 species